rnacentral:rRNA from 1 species
GACGAACGCUGGCGGCGUGCCUAAUACAUGCAAGUAGAACGCACAGUUUAUACCGUAGCUUGCUACACCAUAGACUGUGAGUCGCGAACGGGUGAGUAACGCGUAGGUAACCUGCCUGGUAGCGGGGGAUAACUAUUGGAAACGAUAGCUAAUACCGCAUAAUAUUAAUUAUUGCAUGAUAAUUAAUUGAAAGGUGCAAUUGCACCACUACCAGAUGGACCUGCGUUGUAUUAGCUAGUAGGUGAGGUAACGGCUCACCUAGGCGACGAUACAUAGCCGACCUGAGAGGGUGAUCGGCCACACUGGGACUGAGACACGGCCCAGACUCCUACGGGAGGCAGCAGUAGGGAAUCUUCGGCAAUGGACGAAAGUCUGACCGAGCAACGCCGCGUGAGUGAAGAAGGUUUUCGGAUCGUAAAGCUCUGUUGUAAGAGAAGAACGGGUGUGAGAGUGGAAAGUUCACACUGUGACGGUAUCUUACCAGAAAGGGACGGCUAACUACGUG